rnacentral:rRNA from 1 species
AACCUGGUUGAUCCUGCCAGUAGUCAUAUGCUUGUCUCAAAGGCUAAGCCAUGCAUGUCUAAGUAUAAAUGCUAUACAAUGAAACUGCGAAUGGCUCAUUACAACACAGUUAUAGUAUUAUAUGGUAAUCGAAUAUUACAUGGAUAACCGAUGGUAAUUCUAGUAGCUAAUACAUGCUGUUAAGCCCAACUUAUGGAAGGGCCGUAUUUAUUAAGAUAACAGACCAAUAUUCUUCGUGUCUAUUGUGGUGAAUCAUAGUAACUAAUCGGAUCGUAUGGGCUAGUCCCUCGACAAACCAUUCAAGUUUCUGCCCCCAUCAAGCUUUCGAUGGUAGUGUAUUGGACUACCAUGGCUUUCA